GGGCCGCUGGUCUAGUGGUAUGAUUCUCGCUUAGGGUUCACCCUGAUGUUUACAAAGUGAAAAUGUUUCUCUGGAAAUAUUAGCUUGCGAGAGGUCCCGGGUUCAAUCCCCGGGUGGCCCC